rnacentral:rRNA from 1 species
UACAGAGGGUGCAAGCGUUUGUUCGGAAUCAUUGGGCGUAAAGCGCACGUAGGCGGCUUGUUAAGUCGGAUGUGAAAGCCCCAGGCUCAACCUGGGAAGUGCAUUCGAAACUGGCGAGCUUGAAUGUCGGAGAGGGCAGUGGAAUUCCGAGUGUAGAGGUGAAAUUCGUAGAUAUUCGGAGGAACACCAGUGGCGAAGGCGACUGCCUGGACGAACAUUGACGCUGAGGUGCGAAAGCGUGGGGAGCAAACAGG